rnacentral:rRNA from 1 species
CUACGGAGGGGGCUAGCGUUGUUCGGAAUUACUGGGCGUAAAGCGCGCGUAGGCGGAUUGGUUAGUUGGGGGUGAAAUCCCAGGGCUCAACCCUGGAACUGCCCUCAAUACUGCCAGUCUAGAGAUCGAGAGAGGUGAGUGGAAUUCCUAGUGUAGAGGUGAAAUUCGUAGAUAUUAGGAAGAACACCAGUGGCGAAGGCGGCUCACUGGCUCGAUACUGACGCUGAGGCGCGAAAACGUGGGGAGCAAACAGGAUUAGAAACCCUAGUAGUCC